rnacentral:rRNA from 1 species
AACGCUAGCUACAGGCUUAACACAUGCAAGUCGAGGGGCAGCAUUAGGUAGCAAUACUGAGAUGGCGACCGGCGCACGGGUGCGUAACGCGUAUCCAACUUUCCCGUUACUCUGGGAUAGCCUUCCGAAAGGGAGAUUAAUACCGGAUGGUGUUUGAAUUCCGCAUGUUAUUCAAACUAAAGAUUUAUCGGUAACGGAUAGGGAUGCGUGACAUUAGGUAGAUGGCGGGGUAACGGCCCACCAUGCCCACGAUGUCUAGGGGUUCUGAGAGGAAGGUCCCCCACACUGGAACUGAGACACGGUCCAGACUCCUACGGGAGGCAGCAGUGAGGAAUAUUGGUCAAUGGCCGGAAGGCUGAACCAGCCAAGUAGCGUGAAGGAUGAAGGUUCUAUGGAUUGUAAACUUCUUUUAUAUAGGAAUAAAACCUCCCACGUGUGGGAGCUUGUAUGUACUAUAUAAAUAAGCAUCGGCUAACUCCGUGCCAGCAGCCGCGGUAAUACGGAGGAUGCGAGCGUUAUCCGGAUUUAUUGGGUUUAAAGGGAGCGUAGACGGGAUGUUAAGUCAGUUGUGAAAGGCUGCGGCUCAACCGCAGCGCUGCAGUUGAUACUGGCGUCCUUGAGUGCGGUUGAGGUGUGUGGAAUUCGUGGUGUAGCGGUGAAAUGCUUAGAUAUCACGAAGAACUCCGAUUG